rnacentral:lncRNA from 1 species
GUUUAAGCUGUCAUAUUUGGGGGCCCAUUUGUUUCUCAGCCUAAGCUGUACCCCGUCGGGUGUGCCUAUAUGUGAAUAGCGUGUGGGCUCAGCUGAUGGACCAGACAUUCCAUGUACUGGCGCAUAACAUUCUGACUCGCGUGCAGUAAGAACAAAAGGAAAUACAGCCCAAUUUGGUAAAAUUCUCUCACAGCCUGGAAAAGAGCAUCCCGAACAGUGGAGAGGAAGAGGGAGUGAGGCCCUGUGGACACAGCAGAGGAAUCCACAAUGGAUUUGCAGCAGGCUGGUGGAGGCAGAGCAGAGAAGGGCGGGAGAGGGCCAGCGAAGGCCUGGGAAG